rnacentral:rRNA from 1 species
UAGGGAAUCUUCGGCAAUGGACGAAAGUCUGACCGAGCAACGCCGCGUGAGUGAAGAAGGUUUUCGGAUCGUAAAACUCUGUUGUUAGAGAAGAACAAGGACGUUAGUAACUGAACGUCCCCUGACGGUAUCUAACCAGAAAGCCACGGCUAACUACGUGCCAGCAGCCGCUGUAAUACGUAGGUGGCAAGCGUUGUCCGGAUUUAUUUGGCGUAAAGCGAGCGCAGGCGGUUUCUUAAGUCUGAUGUGAAAGCCCCCGGCUCAACCGGGGAGGGUCAUUGGAAACUGGGAGACUUGAGUGCAGAAGAGGAGAGUGGAAUUCCAUGUGUAGCGGUGAAAUGCGUAGAUAUAUGGAGGAACACCAGUGGCGAAGGCGGCUCUCUGGUCUGUAACUGACGCUGAGGCUCGAAAGCGUGGGGAGCAAACAGG